UGGAGAGUUUGAUCCUGGCUCAGAUUGAUCACGCUGGCGGCAGGCCUAACACAUGCAAGUCGAGCGGCAGCGGGAAAGUAGCUUGCUACUUUUGCCGGCGAGCGGCGGACGGGUGAGUAAUGCCUGGGAAAUUGCCCAGUCGAGGGGGAUAACAGUUGGAAACGACUGCUAAUACCGCAUACGCCCUACGGGGGAAAGCAGGGGACCUUCGGGCCUUGCGCGAUUGGAUAUGCCCAGGUGGGAUUAGCUUGUUGGUGAGGUAAUGGCUCACCAAGGCGACGAUCCCUAGCUGGUCUGAGAGGAUGAUCAGCCACACUGGAACUGAGACACGGUCCAGACUCCUACGGGAGGCAGCAGUGGGGAAUAUUGCACAAUGGGGGAAACCCUGAUGCAGCCAUGCCGCGUGUGUGAAGAAGGCCUUCGGGUUGUAAAGCACCUUCAGCGAGGAGGAAAGAUUGAUGCCUAAUACGUAUCAGCUGUGACGUUACUCGCAAAAGAAGCACCGGAUCAACUCCGUGCCAGCAGCCGCGGUA
rnacentral:rRNA from 1 species